CAAGGUGGCGCAAGGAUAAAGAGAUAGAGUCUCUAUUGGCUUGGACUCUCCAUUUUCAAAUUAAUACCAAACCAAAUCAAAUCUACUUUGAACCCAAUGUCAGAAAUGAAUCUAAUUAAAUUAGAAAUUUAAUAAUCUCAAUAAAUUUUUUAUCCAAUUAAAAAUUAGCUGAGUCCAAGUUCUGAUCGAAUCAGGAUCAAAUUUUUCUUGCAACCAGGCU
rnacentral:lncRNA from 1 species